rfam:Ixodes scapularis strain Wikel colony gcontig_1107728893958, whole genome shotgun sequence.
GCAGUCGUGGCCGAGUGGUUAAAGCGAUGGACUAGAAAUCCAGUGGUGUCUCCCUGCACAGGUUCGAACCCUGACGACUGCG